CUGAUGGGUUGUUGCUGGUUCUCUAGGGAACAUGUGCACACCUUGUCAUCUUUAUAUCUCCACCUGUGCACUUUUUGUAGACCUUUCAGGUCUAUGUUGCUUCAUUUACCCCAAUGUAUGUUAAUAGAAUGUUGUGCCUAUAUAAUAUAUACAACUUUCAGCAACGGAUCUCUUGGCUCUCGCAUCGAUGAAGAACGCAGCGAAAUGCGAUAAGUAAUGUGAAUUGCAGAAUUCAGUGAAUCAUCGAAUCUUUGAACGCACCUUGCGCUCCUUGGUAUUCCGAGGAGCAUGCCUGUUUGAGUGUCAUUAAUAUAUCAACCUUCUCUUUUUUGAGUUGUUUGGAUGUGGGGGUUUGCUGGCAUCUUAAAUGAUUCAGCUCCCCUGAAAUGCAUUAGCAGAACAACCUGUUCAUUGGCGUGAUAAUUAUCUAUGCUAUUGAAUGUGAGGGCAGUUCAGCUUUCUAACCGUCCUCGGACAAUUCAUCAUUAAUGUGACCUCAAAUCAGGUAGGACUACCCGCUGAACUUAAGCAUAUCAAUA
rnacentral:rRNA from 1 species